UAGCUGUCUCUACCACCUAUGUGCU
rnacentral:misc_RNA from 1 species